UACGAAGGGGGCUAGCGUUGUUCGGAAUUACUGGGCGUAAAGCGUAUGCAGGCGGACUUUUAAGUCAGGGGUGAAAUCCCGGGGCUCAACCCCGGAACUGCCUUUGAUACUGCUAGUCUCGAGUCCGGAAGAGGUGAGUGGAAUUCCGAGUGUAGAGGUGAAAUUCGUAGAUAUUCGGAGGAACACCAGUGGCGAAGGCGGCUCACUGGUCCGGUACUGACGCUGAGGUGCGAAAGCGUGGGGAGCAAACAGG
rnacentral:rRNA from 1 species